AGAGUUUGAUCCUGGCUCAGAACGAACACUGGCGGCAUGGAUUAGGCAUGCAAGUCGAACGAGAAAGCUCCCUUCGGGGAGUGAGUACAGUGGCGAACGGGUGAGUAACGGGUGGAAACCUGCCCUUCAGUGGGGGAUAACAGUUCUAACGAGCUGCUAAUACCGCAUACGACCUUUAGACCGCAUGAUUUGAAGGUGAAAGGUGGCCUCUCUUUGAGGCUGCCGUUGAAGGAUGGUUCCGCCUCCCAUUAGCUUGUUGGUGGGGUAAUGGCCUACCAAGGCGACGAUGGGUAGCCGGCCUGAGAGGGUGUCCGGCCACACUGGGACUGAGAUACGGCCCAGACUCCUACGGGAGGCAGCAGUCGAGAAGCUUCGGCAAUGGGCGAAAGCCUGACCGAGCGAUGCCGCGUGAGUGAAGAAGGCCCUAUGGGUUGUAAAGCUCUGUCAGACUGGGAAGAAAACUCGGCGGUUAAUACCCGUCGAGCUUGACGGUACCAUCAGAGGAAGCACCGGCUAACUCCGUGCCAGCAGCCGCGGUAAUACGGAGGGUGCAAGCGUUGUUCGGAUUCACUGGGUAUAAAGGGUGCGCAGGCGGCCUAAUAAGUCAGAGGUGAAAUAUGACGGCUCAACCGUCAAACGGCCCCUGAAACUGUUGGGCUUGAGUUCGAGAGAGGUAGGUGGAAUUCCAGGUGUAGCGGUGAAAUGCGUAAAUAUCUGGAGGAACACCGGUGGCGAAGGCGGCCUACUGGCUCGAUACUGACGCUCAGGCACGAAAGCAUGGGGAGCGAACGGGAUUAGAUACCCCGGUAGUCCAUGCCGUAAACGAUGGGUACUAGGUGUUGGAGGAUUCUACCCCUUCAGUGCCGCAGCUAACGCAUUAAGUACCCCACCUGGGGAGUACGAUCGCAAGGUUGAAACUCAAAGGAAUUGACGGGGGCCCGCACAAGCGGUGGAGCAUGUGGUUUAAUUCGAUGCAACGCGAAGAACCUUACCUGGGCUUGACAUGCAGGGGACAGGUGUAGAAAUACAUCCUUCUUCGGACUCCUGUACAGGUGCUGCAUGGCUGUCGUCAGCUCGUGUCGUGAAAUGUUGGGUUAAGUCCCGCAACGAGCGCAACCCUUGUCUUUAGUUGCCAUCAGGUAAUGCUGGGGACCCUAGAGAGACUGCCGGUGACAAACCGGAGGAAGGUGGGGACGACGUCAAGUCAUCAUGGCCCUUACGCCCAGGGCUACACACGUGCUACAAUGGUCGGUACAAAGGGCUGCAAUACAGCGAUGUGGAGCGAAUCCCAAAAAGCCGGCCUCAGUUCGGAUCGUAGUCUGCAACUCGACUACGUGAGGUUGGAAUCGCUAGUAAUCGCGUAUCAGAACGACGCGGUGAAUACGUUCCCGGGCCUUGUACACACCGCCCGUCAAGUCAACCGAGUUGGCUGCACCCCAAGUCGCUGAGCUAACCCCUUCGGGGGAGGCAAGUGCCCAAGGUGUGGUUGGCGAGGGGGACUAAGUCGGAACAAGGUA
rnacentral:rRNA from 1 species